AACGAACGCUGGCGGCAUGCCUAACACAUGCAAGUCGAACGAGACCUUCGGGUCUAGUGGCGCACGGGUGCGUAACGCGUGGGAACCUGCCCUUAGGUUCGGAAUAACUCCCCGAAAGGGGUGCUAAUACCGGAUAAUGUCUUCGGACCAAAGAUUUAUCGCCUUUGGAUGGGCCCGCGUUGGAUUAGCUAGUUGGUAGGGUAAGAGCCUACCAAGGCGACGAUCCAUAGCUGGUCUGAGAGGAUGAUCAGCCACACUGGGACUGAGACACGGCCCAGACUCCUACGGGAGGCAGCAGUGGGGAAUAUUGGACAAUGGGCGAAAGCCUGAUCCAGCAAUGCCGCGUGAGUGAUGAAGGCCUUAGGGUUGUAAAGCUCUUUUACCCGGGAUGAUAAUGACAGUACCGAGAGAAUAAGCUCCGGCUAACUCCGUG
rnacentral:rRNA from 1 species